UACGUAGGGAGCAAGCGUUGUCCGGAAUCAUUGGGCGUAAAGCGCGCGUAGGUGGCCCCAUAAGUCCGCUGUGAAAACUCGAGGCUCAACCUCGAGACGCCGGUGGAAACCGUAAAGCUAGAGUCCGGAAGAGGAGAAUGGAAUUCCUGGUGUAGCGGUGAAAUGCGCAGAUAUCAGGAAGAACACCCGUGGCGAAGGCGGUUCUCUGGGACGGUACUGACGCUGAGACGCGAAAGCGUGGGGAGCGAACAGG
rnacentral:rRNA from 1 species